rnacentral:rRNA from 1 species
AGAACGAACGCUGGCGGCGUGCCUAACACAUGCAAGUCGAGCGCGAAUGGAGCAAUCCUAGUAGAGCGGCGCACGGGUGCGUAACACGUGGGUAAUCUGCCUGGGAGAUCGGGAUAACCUGCCGAAGGCAAGCUAAUACCGGAUAAGCCUACGAGAUCUUCGGAUCUU